UUGAAAGGGAAACGAUUGAAGUCAGUCGUACCGACGAGAAAUCAGCUUAUCGUGUGUUAACUUGUGGGCGUGCGUGAGUUUCGGCCUCGCUGUUUGCAUGUUUGUGCGCUUUGGGUGUACUUUUUCGUAUGGUUGGCCAACAUCAGUUUCGAUCACUAUAAAAUGACUGGCGGAAUGUAGCUUCGAUUUCGGUUGAAGUGUUAUAGCCUCUGGUAGAUGUGGUAAUUGGGACUGAGGAUUGCAACGAAUAUCCUUUGGGCUAUCCGUCUGGCCUCUGAAAGUUGCUUGGGUGCUGAAAGCUUGCUUAUGGUUAUCUAAGUUAACGGUCAAUAGGUUAGAACGCGAUUACAUUCGUUAAGGAUGUUGACGUA
rnacentral:rRNA from 1 species